rnacentral:rRNA from 1 species
AGAGUUUGAUCCUGGCUCAGAUUGAACGCUGGCGGAAUGCUUUACACAUGCAAGUCGAGCGGCAGCGCGGGGCAACCUGGCGGCGAGCGGCGAACGGGUGAGUAAUGCAUCGGAACAUGUCCAUGUCGUGGGGGAUAGCCCGGCGAAAGCCGGAUUAAUACCGCAUACGCUCGGGAGAGGAAAGCCGGGGACCGCAAGGCCUGGCGCGAUUGGGUUGGCCGAUGUCCGAUUAGCUUGUUGGUGAGGUAAAGGCUUACCAAGGCGAUGAUCGGUAGCUGGUCUGAGAGGAUGAUCAGCCACACUGGGACUGAGACACGGCCCAGACUCCUACGGGAGGCAGCAGUGGGGAAUUUUGGACAAUGGGGGCAACCCUGAUCCAGCCAUUCCGCGUGAGUGAAGAAGGCCUUCGGGUUGUAAAGCUCUUUUGUCCGGAGCGAAACGGGCGCGGCUAAUACCUGCGUCCACUGACGGUACCGGAAGAAUAAGCACCGGCUAACUACGUGCCAGCAGCCGCGGUAAU